rnacentral:rRNA from 1 species
CUGCCAGUAGUCAUAUGCUUGUCUCAAAGAUUAAGCCAUGCAUGUCUCAGUACAGCCACAUUAAGGUGAAACCGCGAAAGGCUCAUUAAAUCAGUUAUGGUUCCUUAGAUCGUACCCACAUUUACUUGGAUAACUGUGGUAAUUCUAGAGCUAAUACAUGCAAACAGAGCUCCGACCGGAGACGGAAGGAGUGCUUUUAUUAGAUCAAAACCAAUCGGCGGCAAUUUAGUAUCCACUUUAUUGUUCGUCGCACUUUUUGGUGACUCUGAAUAACUUUUGGCUGAUCGCACGGUCUCGCACCGGCGACGCAUCUUUCAAAUGUCUGCCUUAUCAACUGUCGAUGGUAGGUUCUGCGCCUACCAUGGUUGUAACGGGUAACGGGGAAUUAGGGUUCGAUUCCGGAGAGGGAGCCUGAGAAACGGCUACCACAUCCAAGGAAGGCAGCAGGCGCGCAAAUUACCCACUCCCGGCACGGGGAGGUAGUGACGAAAAAUAACGAUACGGGACUCAUCCGAGGCCCCGUAAUCGGAAUGAGUACACUUUAAAUACUUUAACGAGGACCAAUUGGAGGGUAAGUCUGGUGCCAGCAGCCGCGGUAAUUCCAGCUCCAAUAGCGUAUA